rnacentral:rRNA from 1 species
UACGGAGGGAGCUAGCGUUGUUCGGAAUUACUGGGCGUAAAGGGCGCGUAGGCGGCCUUCUUAGUCGAACGUGAAAUCCCCGGGCUCAACCCGGGAACUGCGUCCGAUACUGGAAGGCUCGAAUCCGGGAGAGGGAUGUGGAAUUCCAGGUGUAGCGGUGAGAUGCGUAGAUAUCUGGAGGAACACCGGUGGCGAAGGCGACAUCCUGGACCGGUAUUGACGCUGAGGCGCGAAAGCCAGGGGAGCAAACGGG